GACGAACGCUGGCGGCGUGCUUAACACAUGCAAGUCGAGCGGGAAACUUCGGUUUCCAGCGGCGGACGGGUGAGUAACACGUGGGCAACCUGCCUCACAAUGAGGGAUAGCCUUCCGAAAGGAAGAUUAAUACCUCAUAACACAAGAGAAACGCAUGUUUCUUUUGCCAAAGAAUUUCGUUGUGAGAUGGGCCCGCGGCGCAUUAGCUUGUUGGUGAGUUAACGGCUCACCAAGGCUUCGAUGCGUAGCCGACCUGAGGGGGUGAUCGGCCACAUUUGAACUGAGAACCAGUCCAGACUCCUACGGGAGGCAGCAGUGGGGAAUAUUGCACAAUGGAGGAAACUCUGAUGCAGCAACGCCGCGUGAGUGAUGAAGGUCUUCGGAUUGUAAAGCUCUGUAUUCUGAGACGAUAAUGACGGUACCAGAGGAGGAAGCCACGGCUAACUACGUGCCAGCCGCCGCAGUAA
rnacentral:rRNA from 1 species